CAUCAUCGUUUCUAUCGAGCAACUCCAUCUGUGUGCUCAUGCGUGCUCGCAUCGAUUUUCAAUGUACGUCGCUUCUGUCCGUCCCCUCCGGCGAAGGGAUGAGAAAAGCAACGGACUGCCCGACUGACAAAGCACAAGCAAAAUUGCAAGCGCGUGGAAAAAAGGGACCAAGAGUGGGAAGGCCCCGCGGCACACUACUGUUUGCGUUUGGGCACCAUUGCACAAAAAGUCCUCAUACUCUGGAAAACGCUUCGCCUGU
ensembl:ncRNA ZK867.14 ncRNA